AGAGUUUGAUCCUGGCUCAGAUUGAACGCUGGCGGCAGGCCUAACACAUGCAAGUCGAGCGGUAGAGAGAAGCUUGCUUCUCUUGAGAGCGGCGGACGGGUGAGUAAUGCCUAGGAAUCUGCCUGGUAGUGGGGGAUAACGUUCGGAAACGGACGCUAAUACCGCAUACGUCCUACGGGAGAAAGCAGGGGACCUUCGGGCCUUGCGCUAUCAGAUGAGCCUAGGUCGGAUUAGCUAGUUGGCGAGGUAAUGGCUCACCAAGGCGACGAUCCGUAACUGGUCUGAGAGGAUGAUCAGUCACACUGGAACUGAGACACGGUCCAGACUCCUACGGGAGGCAGCAGUGGGGAAUAUUGGACAAUGGGCGAAAGCCUGAUCCAGCCAUGCCGCGUGUGUGAAGAAGGUCUUCGGAUUGUAAAGCACUUUAAGUUGGGAGGAAGGGUUGUAGAUUAAUACUCUGCAAUUUUGACGUUACCGACAGAAUAAGCACCGGCUAACUCUGUGCCAGCAGCCGCGGUAAUACAGAGGGUGCAAGCGUUAAUCGGAAUUACUGGGCGUAAAGCGCGCGUAGGUGGUUUGUUAAGUUGGAUGUGAAAUCCCCGGGCUCAACCUGGGAACUGCAUUCAAAACUGACUGACUAGA
rnacentral:rRNA from 1 species